rnacentral:rRNA from 1 species
UGCCAGCCGCCGCGGUAAUACGAAGGGGGCUAGCGUUGUUCGGAAUUACUGGGCGUAAAGAGUUCGUAGGCGGGCUAUUAAGUCAGAUGUGAAAUCCCAGGGCUCAACCUUGGAACUGCAUUUGAAACUGGUAACCUAGAGACUAGGAGAGGUCAGUGGAAUACCGAGUGGAGAGGUGAAAUUCGCAGGUAUUCGGUGGAACACCAGUGGCGAAGGCGACUGACUGGACUAGUACUGACGCUGAGGAACGAAAGUGUGGGGAGCAAACAGGAUUAGAUA